rnacentral:lncRNA from 1 species
CUCAUGCUCACGAAUUAACAGGAGCCCAGGCAAUGGAAAUGCUUCUGCCUCACGAAUCUGUCUUCUCGCUGCAAUGUUGCCCAAAGCUGGGGACAAGACAGAAAAACCUGCUCUGAGAGCUGUGCAAAGAUAACGCCGUUGUCAACCAAAGAAACCUCCUUCACUUAUUCAAGAGUAUCGCCCG